GGAGGCAGCGGAAAAAAAAGGUGGCUCCCUCUUGCAGCACCAGGAGGACGGCAGGCAGAGCAGCUCAGGUGGCCAGCGGUAUCACCGUGGGCUCCAGUUAGUCUACCUAGAGACCCCCCCCCCCACCCCAUCUGCGGGACACGACCGGAGCGUCUGGAGGUGAGAGCCUCGGCGAAUCCACUCCGCCUCAUCAUACCCCGCUCAGGUCACCUACCGGCAUUUUCUCUCCGCCCUCUGCGAAGAUGAUACCUGGCAAACGAAGAGCUGCAGUCAUGUCCUUCUCGGUGGCGAUAAUUGGAGCGCUGAUGCUGCAGUCCGUCUCGUCCCAGAACGCGGGCUUUGUGAAAUCGCCUCUCUCUGAGACUAAGCUCACGGGCGACAUCUUUGAGCUGUACUGCGACGUGGUAGGUAACCCCACCCCAGAAAUCCAGUGGUGGUACGCCGAGAUCAACCGCGCCGACUCUUUCAGGCAGCUGUGGGACGGCGCCCGUAAGCGCCGGGUGUCCAUCAGCACGGCCUACGGCGUCAACGCCGUGAGCACCCUGGGGGUCUCGCGCCUCACGCUGGAUGACGCCGGCACCUACGAGUGCAGGGCCAGCAACGACCCGCGGCGCAACGACCUCCACCAAAACCCCGCCACCACCUGGAUCCGUGCUCAGGCCACCGUCACGGUGCUGCAGAAGCCGUCAAUCGACGCAACCGAACAUGUCACGCUUACCCCGGACAUUUCUAGCGUCACUCUGCAGUGCAACCUGUCGAGCUCCCAGGGUUCCCACCAGGAAACCUACUGGAUGAAGAAUGGGCUGGAGAUCGCGGAAACACGCACCAACAACAAGAACACUGAAUACAGGCUGAACAGAGCAAGGGCGGAAGACGCCGGAGUGUACAUGUGUGUGUUUACCUUCGAGAUGACUCCUUCCACCAACGCCACCAUCGAAGUUAAAUCUGCUCCCCAGAUCACAGGCCACAAGCGCAGUGAGAAUAAGAAUGAGGGCCAGCAGGCUUUGCUCUACUGUAAGUCUGUGGGGUACCCUCACCCGGACUGGACCUGGCGCAAGUUUGAGAAUGGCAAUUUAAGGGAAAUCGACAACUCGACCGGCCGCUUCUUCGUCAGCAGCAAAGAGAACUACACUGAGCUCUACAUCCUGAACCUCGACAUUAGUUUAGACCCGGGCGAGUACCACUGCAGCGCCAACAACUCCCUUGGCUCCGAUGGCGAGAAGUCCAUGUUGAGGGUUCGCAGCCACUUGGCCCCCCUAUGGCCACUUCUGGGGGUUUUGGCUGAGAUCAUCAUCCUGGUCGUCAUCAUCGUCGUUUAUGAGAAGCGCAAGAAGCCAGAAGAUUUACAAGACGUGUGAGACUUUGCAUGCCUCAUGCAUUCCAAUAAGCAUUCAGCCUCAUCUUCUUCCACUUCGCAGCACAAUGAUGACUUAGCCGGACCAGUGAAAACUAAUUCAACCAACAACCACAAAGACAAGAAUCUGCGCCAGAGGAAUACAAAUUGAGCAGCUUGUCUGCUGAGUCUCAUUUCACAUGUAUUGACCAUAUGAAGGUAAACAAGACGGGACUCCAUUGUUAAUAGGAUGCAUCUGCCAUUAAAAGUAUGGUUGUGGAGGAGUUACAUGAGGCAUGCCUUAUGAUUUUAUUGUGUGCGGGUGUGAGGUCAGGGGGUACUCAGAUCAUCAUAUGGAAUUGUUAACAUUAUAACCAUUGUUGCUGCAUGCAGGUGUCGAUGUUUAGGAUUUUUGUUUUUCCCUUCUAAACACUAAUUUUUCCGUUUUUACAACUUAAAGUAAAUGCAUGCAAGAUGACGACCUUCUGUUUGACACAGAAAUGGCUUUUUAAGUUUGUUCCUUUCUCUGAGAGUGGCUUCAUGUAGAUAUUCUGUGUGUACUAGAGGAAAAAAAAACAUAACUCAGCAAUGUAAACGAGUGAACCACCAUAAUCGGGUAUGACAGAUGUGUACAGUUUUAUCAUUCCGCUGCAUACUGUUCAUUUUAUCUGAUAGUAUCUAUUACAUUUUAAGGGCUUUGCAGUGUCCCUCUAAAUUUGGUUUAGGUUUACUUUACUGUAUGUACUGUAUGUAUUAAAUCACUAUAACUAUGUAUCAGACUACCAUCAAUAUAAAGAUUAUCCAUAUUAUAUGAUGCACUUAAAUGUUGAGAAUAAUGAAAAGCUGUAUAAAACCUACUUUAGGAAAUCUGUACUAAUCAUUCUAACACAUUGUUUUAUAAUUAUGUGUCUUGUACAGCAUGGCUAUUAUCCUAUGCAAUUAUUGUCCAUAUCAGUAUAUUGAAAAUCAUUGCAGCUUUUGAUUUCCCUGUGACAAAGCUUUAAACUGGUAGGAUCACCGUAGAGCGUACUCCACGGCUGCAUGCGUUAUCAAUAAGAGCUGACGUGGGAGGCAGUGAAAGCGAGCCCACAUCAGAGCCGACACAUGUGAAGCAAUUCCAAGAUCCCGAAUUCAUUUUUAAGAAUAAAAAGCUCCAAAAAGAAAA